GCUAAACAGCUAGCCUAACCCCCCAAACCCAAACAUACAACCAUAAAUACCACCACACAACAAGACUCACCAACUAAACCAUUUUCCCCUUCUAGUAUAGGAGACAGAAAAAAGAGACCAGAGCAAUAGAAAAAGUACCGCAAGGGAAAGCUGAAAAAGAAAUGAAAAAACCCAUAAAAGCAAAAAAAAGCAGAGACGCAACCUCGUACCUUUUGCAUCAUGAUUUAGCUAGAUCAACCAGGCAAAGAGACCUACAGUCUGACACCCCGAAACUAAACGAGCUACUUCGAGACAGCCCCUUAAGGGCCAACCCGUCUCUGUGGCAAAAGAGUGGGAAGAUCUCCAAGUAGAGGUGACAAACCUAACGAGUUUAGUGAUAGCUGGUUGCUUAAGAAAUGAAUAUAAGUUCAGCCUCCAGAGCCUACUUAAAUCAAACACCACACCAAAGACUAAAAGACAGCCCGGAGAGUUAGUCAGAGGGGGUACAGCCCCUCUGAAAAAGAACACAACCUUACACAGGAGGAUAAGGAUCACAAUAAAAAAGACACCAUCAAGCCACAGUGGGCCUAAAAGCAGCCACCAAUACAGAAAGCGUCAAAGCUCAAGCAAACAAACAAGUCCAUUAUUACGAUAAAACAUCCCACUCCCCUAACAACACUAAGCCAUUCUAUGCAAACAUAGAAAAAACAAUGCUAAAAUCAGUAAUAAGAAGACACGAUCUUCUCCAAGCACAUGUGUACGUUAGACCGAACUAAUCACUAACAAAUCAACGGACCCAAACCAAGAGGGAAAUGCAACAAACACCAAUAAACCAAGAAAAAACUGCUACCCACUACCGUUAACCCAACACAGGAGUGCAGCCUCAGAAGGAAAGACUAAAAGGAAUAGAAGGAACUCGGCAAACAUGAGCCCCGCCUGUUUACCAAAAACAUCGCCUCUUGCGAACAAUCAAAGUAUAAGAGGUCCCGCCUGCCCCGUGACUAACAAGUUCAACGGCCGCGGUAUUCUGACCGUGCGAAGGUAGCGUAAUCACCUGUCUUUUAAAUGAAGACCUGUAUGAAAGGCACCACGAGGGCUCAACUGUCUCCUACCCCCAGUCAAUGAAAUUGAUCUGCCCGUGCAGAAGCGGACAUAAAAACAUAAGACGAGAAGACCCUGUGGAGCUUAAGGCACAAGGCCAACCACGCCAAGCACCACCCAAAAGACACAAGCACAACAGCCACUGGCCCCACAUGCCUUCGGUUGGGGCGACCGCGGAGAAAAACAAAACCUCCACGUGGACCAAGGACACAGUCCUCAAAACCAAGAGACACAACUCCAAGCAGCAGAAAAUCUGACCAAAAAGACCCAGGCCCAAACACGCCUGAUCAACGAACCAAGUUACCCCAGGGAUAACAGCGCAAUCCUUUCCAAGAGUCCAUAUCGACGAAAGGGUUUACGACCUCGAUGUUGGAUCAGGACAUCCUAAUGGUGCAGCCGCUAUUAAGGGUUCGUUUGUUCAACGAUUAAAGUCCUACGUGAUCUGAGUUCAGACCGGAGCAAUCCAGGUCAGUUUCUAUCUAUGCAGUGACUCCCCCCAGUACGAAAGGACCGGGGAAAUGGGGCCCAUACCAAAAGCACGCCCCACCCCCACCCGGCGAAAACAACUAAAACGGAAAAGGGGGCACAACCCACACCACAAGCCACAGAUAAUGGCAC